GCGGAUCGAUGGGAGCUUGCUCCCUGAGAUCAGCGGCGGACGGGUGAGUAACACGUGGGUAACCUGCCUGUAAGACUGGGAUAACUCCGGGAAACCGGGGCUAAUACCGGAUAACACCUACCCCCGCAUGGGGGAAGGUUGAAAGGUGGCUUCGGCUAUCACUUACAGAUGGACCCGCGGCGCAUUAGCUAGUUGGUGAGGUAAUGGCUCACCAAGGCGACGAUGCGUAGCCGACCUGAGAGGGUGAUCGGCCACACUGGGACUGAGACACGGCCCAGACUCCUACGGGAGGCAGCAGUAGGGAAUCUUCCGCAAUGGACGAAAGUCUGACGGAGCAACGCCGCGUGAGUGAAGAAGGUUUUCGGAUCGUAAAACUCUGUUGUUAGGGAAGAACAAGUGCCGUUCGAAUAGGGCGGCGCCUUGACGGUACCUAACCAGAAAGCCACGGCUAACUACGUGCCAGCAGCCGCGGUAAUACGUAGGUGGCAAGCGUUGUCCGGAAUUAUUGGGCGUAAAGCGCGCGCAGGUGGUUUCUUAAGUCUGAUGUGAAAGCCCACGGCUCAACCGUGGAGGGUCAUUGGAAACUGGGGAACUUGAGUGCAGAAGAGGAAAGUGGAAUUCCAAGUGUAGCGGUGAAAUGCGUAGAUAUUUGGAGGAACACCAGUGGCGAAGGCGACUUUCUGGUCUGUAACUGACACUGAGGCGCG
rnacentral:rRNA from 1 species